rnacentral:rRNA from 1 species
UGGGGAAUUUUGGACAAUGGGGGAAACCCUGAUCCAGCCAUCCCGCGUGUGCGAUGAAGGCCUUCGGGUUGUAAAGCACUUUUGGCAGGAAAGAAACGUCGCGGGUUAAUACCCCGCGAAACUGACGGUACCUGCAGAAUAAGCACCGGCUAACUACGUGCCAGCAGCCGCGGUAAUACGUAGGGUGCAAGCGUUAAUCGGAAUUACUGGGCGUAAAGCGUGCGCAGGCGGUUCGGAAAGAAAGAUGUGAAAUCCCAGAGCUUAACUUUGGAACUGCAUUUUUAACUACCGGGCUAGAGUGUGUCAGAGGGAGGUGGAAUUCCGCGUGUAGCAGUGAAAUGCGUAGAUAUGCGGAGGAACACCGAUGGCGAAGGCAGCCUCCUGGGAUAACACUGACGCUCAUGCACGAAAGCGUGGGGAGCAAACAGGAUUAGAUACCCUGGUAGUCCACGCCCUAAACGAUGUCAACUAGCUGUUGGGGCCUUCGGGCCUUGGUAGCGCAGCUAACGCGUGAAGUUGACCGCCUGGGGAGUACGGUCGGCAAGAGUUAAAACUCAAAUAGGAAUUGGACUGGGGGUCGAUAGCUGUUUCCU